GCCGCGCCCUGGCUAUUGGCCGCCGUCUGACCCGCCGCCGCUGCGUGCGCCGGGGCGGUCGCCUCCGCUCGCCUUCCCGGGCCCCACGUCUGGAUUGUUUGCUCAACUCGGACACUAUUUAAGGAGCCGUCUGCGGCUACGUGUAGAGACUCACGCAGCGCUUCUGGCUGGAACAAGGAGGCGUGCGCUGAGGUGUGGGAGCGGGAGUGGGCCUGGGAGAGGGAGGAGCGGCCGCCGGGAGUCUGGCGGGAGGCGGUGCUGCCCUGUCGGUUCCCCUCUGCUGCUUCAGCACCAGAAGCUUCCACGGCAGCCUCAGAGGGUGAUAAUUUGUCCUUCCCUGGACUUGGAUACACCCCGCGCCCCAGGCAGGAGGGACGGCAGUUCCUCAGCGACCUUGGCUGGAAGGGACCUCGUCAGCCUCUGAGCCGUGGAAAUGGAUCGCCUUCCAUUAAUUCAGGCACAGAUCACAAUGCUCGGAGCCCCUUCAUCCUUUUUGAAGAUUGCCAUAAUGAUCAUGUAGCCCGUUUACUGGUAUAUGUGAAAUGUUCGGUGAACUCUCUGAAGACAUCAUAUUUUGUAAACUUCUUUGACAUUAACAUCACACCACUCUGGUAUUGAAAGAUAACUCUCCUAGAGCAAACCUUCAUCCUGCUCCUACCUGAACUGGUUGAGUUGCCUCCUAUUCUCAUGGGAUUUCUUUUCACCAUAAUCUUUGGAAUUUAUUGGUUUCUCCCUUUUAUGAAAUCCCUAGUUCCCUGGUUUGUUCCAUUGUUCUGGUAGAGCACAUCCUCCAGUAACUUCCUGAGAAAAGAUUCAUGAAAAAAGAAAAUUCCAGUCUCCUGAAUGUAGGAGACAGAUGACUUUUAAGCCUGGCUGUUACAUUCUGGUUCCUGAGGAGGGUGGAACAGAAGAAUCAUGUGGCUCUUACUAUUCAGUUGUUUGGUGUUCACAUGGCAAAGCAGUUUUGAAGGUUUUAUGGCUUCAUUGGAUAGCCAGUCACCACAUAUUAUACAAAAUGGGCUUGGAGAAUGAAUCACCUGUUGCAAUGUAACUGUAAUUCAGAUGUUUCUUGUGACCUCUCCAGUGGACUCCAGUGUUUUCUCCUUGGCAUUCUAUCCAACGGAUGAUUUUCCACUUAUAAUUUUGGUCCUUCUUUCUAGAGAGGGUAGCUCGAUGUCUUUAGUCAGCCAUCUUGUGACAUAUUUGUAAUGAAUUUUAAAUAAUAUAGUCAUUUUGGUGGUAUUUCUUACGUCACUCAAGUGAAAAAUGACUAUGCAUCUAUUCCUUUACUGAGACAGGGCCUAAUCACAGUACAUUGAAAGUUCUCUUACAUUUUGGGGAAAUGGAAGGGCAAAAUUGGUUCAUUUGAGAAUAAAAAUGGGGAGAGAAGUGGUGGCCUGGGAACCUGGCAGUAUGAAGGAUACUCUUUAUUAUUUGUAUUUGAGUUUAGCAACCUGCCAUUUUAUAAGAAGGUACUUGCAAGUAACUAAGAUGCUUAUACUCUGACAAGAAUAUGCCAAGAUAGAAAAAUUUUAAAAAUCAAUUAGGUUAUUAUAUUUAAAUUUGUCAACUCUUAGACAUAGUUUUAGAAAAUGAACAUCUAUCUUAUGGUUUGUAAAUGUAAAAGAUUUAUGUGUUGGAAGAUAAAAUCUUUUAUUGUUAGGUUCAGAUUUAGAUAACUGAGAUCCAGAUAAGAUAGAUAUUUUAUUUCUUACAUUUAAGUAUGUCAUUGGAUACUUUAGGAACCAUAUGGCAGCUCUGUGGUAUCACUACUUUAUCUAAGAAGUCUUCAGCAUUCCGUUUCUUCUGUCUUGUCUACUAUUCAUGGUUUCCACUCCCAAGAUCAAAUUCUUGGAGGAAAAAAAAAUGAGCAUCCUGAAAUAAAGAAAUCCUUGAGCUGAUGCUGCCCCCUAUUGUAGAUUGUUUUACUCAGUCUACUGAAAUGUGGUUCUGGGGACAGAAGACAGCAAAACUAGACAAAUAUUUUCUCACUCUAUAUACUCUAAUUGCUUCUCUCAGGCAUCUUCCAUUUGCCUCUUUCUGAAAAAUCAAGAGUUUUAAAAAUAGUCUAAUUUCUAACUGUGUUUGCUUUUAUAUGUUGUAAGGAAAAAAUUAAAACUCAAUUAAAUUAUGUUUAAUGACUUUUAACUAGGACAAUUUGAGCAAACGUGUUUUUAAAUGGUUUAUAGAAAAGAUCCUACAAUUCUUCUAAACAAAUAUGCCCCAGACUGUAUUGCAGGAGAGUUAGCAUCAUUUCAAAUGCAUGUCUUUUACCUAAAAACAGACAUAUUAAACAUA